UCCGUAGGCGGUUUUGUAAGUCAGUGGUGAAAGCCCAUCGCUCAACGGUGGAACGGCCAUUGAUACUGCAAGACUUGAAUUAUUAGGAAGUAACUAGAAUAUGUAGUGUAGCGGUGAAAUGCUUAGAGAUUACAUGGAAUACCAAUUGCGAAGGCAGGUUACUACUAAUGGAUUGACGCUGAUGGACGAAAGCGUGGGAGCGAACA
rnacentral:rRNA from 1 species